rnacentral:rRNA from 1 species
AGUGAACGCUGGCGGUAGGCCUAACACAUGCAAGUCGAACGGCAGCACAGUAAGAGCUUGCUCUUACGGGUGGCGAGUGGCGGACGGGUGAGGAAUACAUCGGAAUCUACUUUUUCGUGGGGGAUAACGUAGGGAAACUUACGCUAAUACCGCAUACGACCUACGGGUGAAAGCAGGGGAUCUUCGGACCUUGCGCGAUUGAAUGAGCCGAUGUCGGAUUAGCUAGUUGGCGGGGUAAAGGCCCACCAAGGCGACGAUCCGUAGCUGGUCUGAGAGGAUGAUCAGCCACACUGGAACUGAGACACGGUCCAGACUCCUACGGGAGGCAGCAGUGGGGAAUAUUGGACAAUGGGCGCAAGCCUGAUCCAGCCAUACCGCGUGGGUGAAGAAGGCCUUCGGGUUGUAAAGCCCAUUUGUUGGGAAAGAAAAGCAGCAGGUUAAUACCCCGCUGUUCUGACGGUACCCAAAGAAUAAGCACCGGCUAACUUCGUA